GUUUCUGGCGACGUGCCUUCCGAGUUCCCUGGAACGGGACGCCUAGAGGGUGAGAGCCCCGUACGGUUGGAUGCCUAGCCUCUGUGAAACUCCUUCGACGAGUCGAGUAGUUUGGGAAUGCUGCUCUAAAUGGGAGGUAUACGUCUUCUAAAGCUAAAUACCGGCCAGAGACCGAUAGCGCACAAGUAGAGUGAUCGAAAGAUGAAAAGCACUUUGAAAAGAGGGUUAAAAAGUACGUGAAAUUGUUGAAAGGGAAGCGUUCAUGACCAGACUUGAGCAGGUUGAUCAUCCGUGGUUCUCCGCGGUGCACUCUGCCUGCUCAGGCCAGCAUCAGUUCGCUCCGGGGGAUAAAGGCUCUGGGAAUGUGGCUCCUUCGGGAGUGUUAUAGCCCACUGCGUAAUACCCUGGGGUGGACUGAGGUUCGCGCUCUGCAAGGAUGCUGGCGUAAUGGUCAUCAACGACCCGUCUUGAAACACGGACCAAGGAGUCGUCUUCGUAUGCGAGUGUUCGGGUGUCAAACCCCUACGCGUAAUGAAAGUGAACGUAGGAGAGAGCUUCGGCGCAUCUCCGACCGAUCCUGAUGUUCUCGGAUGGAUUUGAGUAAGAGCAUACGGGGCCGGACCCGAAAGAAGGUGAACUAUGCCUGUAUAGGGUGAAGCCAGAGGAAACUCUGGUGGAGGCUCGCAGCGGUUCUGACGUGCAAAUCGAUCGUCAAAUAUGGGCAUGGGGGCGAAAGACUAAUCGAACCUUCUAGUAGCUGGUUUCCGCCGAAGUUUCCCUCAGGAUAGCAGUAUUGAACUCAGUUUUAUGAGGUAAAGCGAAUGAUUAGGGACCCGGGGGCGCUAUAUUGCCUUCAUCCAUUCUCAAACUUUAAAUAUGUAAGAAGCUCUUGUUGCUUAAUUGAACGUGAGCAUUCGAAUGUAUCAAUACUAGUGGGCCAUUUUUGGUAAGCAGAACGGCGAUGCGGGAUGAACCGAACGCGAGGUUAAGGUGCCAGAGUAGACGCUCAUCAGACACCACAAAAGGUGUUAGUAC
rnacentral:rRNA from 1 species